rnacentral:rRNA from 1 species
GAUGAACGCUGGCGGCGUGCCUAAUACAUGCAAGUAGAGCGAACAGACGAGGCGCUUGCUCCCCUGACGAUAGCGGCGGACGUGUGAGUAACACGUGGAUAACCUACUUAUCUGACUGGGAUAACUUCGGGACACCGGGGCUAAUUACGGAUUACAUAUUAAACUGAAUUGUUCAAUGAUAAAAGAUGGUAUUGCUGAAUCUUAUCACUAGCUCCGGGCCGCAUUAGGUAUUUGGUAAGGUAACGGCUUACCAAGGCCACGAGCCGUAGUCGACAUGGGAGGGUGAUCGGCCACACUGGAACUGAAACACGGUCCAGACUCCUACGGGAGGCAGCAGAGGGGAAUCUUCCGCAAUGGGCGAAGGCCUGACGGGGAAACGCCGCGUGAUUGAGGAAGGUCUUCGAACGUAAAAACUCUGUUAUAAGGGAAGAACAAAUGUGUAAGGAACUAUGCACGUCUUGACGGUACCUAAUCAGAAAGCCACGGCUAACUACGUG